AAUACGUACGCAGAAAAAGCAUCCCCGAGCGAACAUUCUCGAAAAAGUGACUUGCGACAACGCGAAAAGGUCAUCAAACGUACUGCGUAUCACGAACGAGCACGAUUUCGAUACAGUCACUCUUGUCACAAGACGAUUUGUUAUCACAUUCAGUACUCUCACCAUCCGCGCACAAUAUGAAAUACACGGGAGCACAGUAAUGGCGGAAUGUGCGACUGCAGCGACUACCGGCGGCGCUAGCGCUAGCACAAAGAGGGCAGUGACGGCGUACUGCGUAGGCCGUAAUGGCGUAGUACUCGUAGUAGUGGCCGGCCGGCCGGCCGGCGGCGCCUGCGUGGCGGCGAUCGUUGCCGAGCGCCGGCGAAGGUGACCGAGCGGCCGAGCCGGCGCCGCUGCCGCUGCCGCUACGGCAGUUACUAUUACUAUCACCUUGUUUACUAGCGCCACGAUAGUCGGACGUUACGACAUAGCUCCUACAGUGCUUCCUGUGUUUUUCGAAUUGUGUGUGGAUGGUGAGUGUUGAUCGGAUGUUAAUAAUCGUCUUGUGACAAAAGUGACUGUAUCGUGUACGUAGAAAUCGUGCUCCUUCGUGAUACGCAGUACAUUAGAUAACCUUGUCGUGUUGCCGCAAGUCACGGUUUCGAGAAUAGCCGCUCGAGGUUUUCUCUGCAUACGUAGAUUCGUUCUUAUCUUCGCAUUGUAAUAUAUCGUGUUAAUGAUGCGUGAGUAGACGUCGAUCGAUAUUUGUUCAUUCAAUAGAUACAAAAGCCUGGUCGUCUAAUCUUGUCACCGUUCAGGUAUCUCACUCGGCGUGCGUGAUAUCAAGUGCCGGCUGUUCUUCUUCCUCCAGUAUCGUUACUUGCUUCUAAUGCUUCUGAUCGGGCGUUCCACGUUUUUCGAGUGUAAAUUGUGCACGGAUACGGUGUCUAAAAUGACGAAUUUAGUAACGAACGAUCGUCUCGACUCUCAACACGUAAGCAUAACGUCGAAAUAAUCGUAUUUGUGGCAUGCUUCUUCACACGACCUGUUGCGUUGUUACUUUCUCGCACGUUUCUCUUUUCAUUCGCGUUCGUGUUCGUAUGUGAUAUUUAAACAAUAUCGGGUAUGUCAAAGAAUCGGGUGUUGUAAUUCAAGAAGAGCAGCAGAGAUAUCAGCAGAAGAUGACAGCCGUGGAGUAACUCGGGUCAACGUGGUGUUUCAACUAUGCUGAUGCACAUCGUGUCGUAAGCGUGCCAGUCUUGUCGGUAAACAGAUACUCAACCUGGCCAAGUUCUUCGUUCAAGUCUGAUGAAUUGGCAAUUGCUGGUUGAUCGUUUUUCUUAUCGUACAUGUCCAAGUCCCAGCCGAUGAAAAAGGAGCCGAGAAACUUUUGCAGUUCUGUUAACACAAAUACAUUUGCUGAAUAGAAAUAAAAAUAAUUUUAACAGUCAAACAGAAGGAAACUGUGAAGUAGGAUUGUCUUACCAGCGGUGGAGUACAAUGAUAUCGGCACGAUAUAAUUGAAUAAGAUAAGGAAGUUUAGAA